CGUCAAACUUGAACAAAGCAAGUCCCAAGCCCCAGAUUAUAGCAUAGAAAGAGAAAUUUGGUAUUGAGUUAUUUCAUUUCUUUCUGCUGUCAUCAUCUUUUUGGAUUCAAAUUAAACUCUGCAGAAAAGAGUUCCUGUUGUAAGACCUGUCGCUGCUUGGAAUCUGAAUCAUGGUACAAAACAUGACUUCACAGGCAGACUUGAACAUUCUUAUACUUUUAUUUUUAAUGUACCCUUUGUAUUUCCUUAAAGAAUACAUGUGUGUUUGAUCAGUCAUGAUGGCCGAAUCCAAGGGUAGAAGUUGAGAGGAAACUACUGUUGGCAAAUAUAUUCUUAUUGUGUUGUUGUAAUUAUUCACGAGGCACGGACAAAAGAGAGAAAUGACCACGACUCAUGGACGGCCAGACCCCAUAUUCUCUUCCUUCUCUCUCAUUUGGGGCCCCUUUUUCUUUCCAAUAAAACUAAAUGAUUAUCCUUAUCAUCAUCAUGUUUGUUGUUUUGUCCAUGGUAUUUAGCACAAAACCCUUAUUCGCUUCCUUCUGUUCCAUCUCCUUAUAACACCACAUAGCUGGCUGCAUUGAGCACUCCUUCAUGAUCAAGAAAAGAGAGAAGCUUGCCAAGAAAUUACAAGAUGGUAGCUGGCUGCUUGCUAGUUAGAAAGGAAGCUUGUCUUUUGAGGGGAAUGUUGUUUGGUUCAAGGCCUGGCCACCCCAUGUCUUGGAAUUUAAAAUAUCAUGUCCUCGGACCAGGCUUCAUUCCCCUCAAUUACUGCUUCCAAAUAUGCAUGAUCAGAUCAUUUUGGAUCAACUUCGAGAUAUGGAGGUGACGAUUUUUUUUCUUUUUUUAUACGGUUUCCCUUUGCUUUUAUCAGCUUUUUUUCUUUGGUUGAUGAAUUCCAUGUUAUAGUUAAAUUUCACAUAGAUCAAGGUUGUUGACUAAUUACUAGCAGAUUGGAGUAAUGAUGAGACAUUUUGACUGUCUUGUGAUCCGAUGGGUAGACACUUAAAUCUUAAUCAUUGCUUCCUGCUGUGAGUAUGAAUGAUCUAAAGUACUAUUCAAUUAGUACUUAAGUUUUCAACUUAGGUUAUCAUGGGGCUAUGAGAUUUUGUCAGUACUCCUCUCUCCUUUCCAAUUGAUAACCUUUUUUGUGUUUUUCAUCAUUGGAUGGAUGGAUGGAUUUUUUACAUGUUCGAUAUUUUUUCAAAGGAACUGGAGAUAUGUGUCUGCAACUCUCUUCUUGAGCAGUAGCUAGGAGAGGUGCAAAAAGAAAUGAUAAAAGAAUUGUCAAAAUUUAGCCUGCAGAACUUGAAAGAACAAAACCCUUUUGAAGACCGAGGCUUUUUCUAUAUGUUAUUGCUUAAUGGGGGUGGUUGGAUCUGCAGAGUUUGUAGAUAUUUCUCUGCUUUCUUUACCUUCCCCAAUGUCUUACUUCCAGUUCAUUGUAUAUUAAUUAAACUCAUUAGAGAAUAUAUCCAUUUACAUUUUAGUGGAAGACAAGCAGCUGCACUAAAGAUUUGAAGCCAAGUAUAUAUAGAGCAGUGGAUAUGUUCUCUAGUAUUUGAUUCCCAUGAUCACUUUCUUUACUAAAAGAGAGGUAUCUUUCUACUUCUAUCUCUCAACUUGAAACCUUUAAAUCUUUUCAAAUCCUUUCUUCUUGUUGACGCAACUAAUUUACUUAAUAAUCUUCCAUACAAUUUAUUCCCUUUCCAAAUCAUAUAUAUAUAUGGCUAAAAUCUUGACUUAAUUUGUUCAAGCUGGUUUCAGUCUAUCAAAUCUUCAUGCAAGAAUUCAAUCACCACAUUAAGAAGCUGAUUUUAUCCUUUGGACAAACACAGGACUUGAGCUAGAAAUGGCAAUGAACACCUUUUAAAUCCUUACAUACAGGCUUGAAGAAGCUUUGAAGCUUCUUCUUCUUUAAUUGUGCUUUGUUUCUUGUGAAAUAGACAAAUCUGGAACUACCAUGGGAUCUAACUCUAGAAUAUUGGUGUAACACAUCAUUGUGGAAGAUUUUGAUAUCUUUGACUACAAGUUACAACUGGAGUUACUGAUUUCUUCCAUGCAAUUUCGUUAGGGUAAAAAUUUAGAGAAAAUUGUUACAGGGUUUCCAAUUUGCAUGAGAAAGGAAAGGUAAUCAUUGAAAUACAUGGCAUGCCAUGCAACACUUUAA